rnacentral:ncRNA from 1 species
UCAAAUAGAGGAGCGGGCGAGCAAGAGUACCCCUGCGCGGCAAAAGAUCGGUUUCUUUGCAGGGAGAAAGGGCGUCACCGCCGAGGCGCGGAGGGGCAGACCGAUGCCGCCGCAGCCGGGCGUACGGGAGAAUACCCGUGCGACUGUCACCGCAGCGUGGAGAACUAUUU